CGCCCGUCGCUCCUACCGAUUGGGUGUGCUGGUGAGAUGUCGGGAUUAGUGGCUGUGGGCGGUUCGCCGCCCUCUGCCGCUGAGAACUUCAUCAAACCCUCCCACCUAGAGGGAGGAGAAGUCGUAACAAGGUUCCU
rnacentral:rRNA from 1 species